GAGUAUGAUGCUUUGCUUUUGGAUAGUUUCCUCGACAUCCUUCAGGAUUUGCAUGGAGUGGAUCUCAAGGAAACGGUCCAAGAGUGUUAUGAACUUUCUGCGGAGUACGAAGGGAAGCAUGAUCCAAAGAAGCUGGAGGAGCUUGGAAAUGUGUUGACAAGUUUGGAUCCAGGGGAUUCCAUAGUCAUUGCUAAAGCUUUCUCUCACAUGCUUAAUUUGGCCAACUUGGCCGAGGAGGUGCAGAUUGCCU
rnacentral:misc_RNA from 1 species